rnacentral:misc_RNA from 1 species
AAGUCGUAACAAGGUAACCGUAGGUGAACCUGCGGUUGGAUCAUUAACAAUCCAAGAGGAGUGGGUCGCAAGAUGCCACAACUCUAACCUGGCCGAAAGGCCUUUAACCCCUUGUGAACUGUUAUUGUAUUUGGCUAGAUGCUAUGGCGCUAGCCGCUUUUUAUAAACUAUUUUUAUUUGUCUUAUCCUAAGAUUCUAAUCUUUACAACUAUUGACAAUGGAUCUCUAGGCUCUC